CCUGACUGCUAUCGGAUUGAUACUAAGCCAUGCGAGUCAUUGUAGUAAUACAAGGCAGACGGCUCAGUAACGCGUAGUCAACCUACCCUAUGGACGGGAAUAACCUCGGGGAACUGAGUAUAAUGCCCGAUAGAACACUAUACCUGGAAUGGUUUGUGUUCCAAAUGAAUGUCGCCGUAGGAUGGGACUGCGGCCUAUCAGUUUGUUGGUGAGGUAAUGGCCCACCAAGAUUAUUACAGGUACGGGCUCUGAGAGGAGUAGCCCGGAGAUGGGUACUGAGACACGGACCCAGGCCCUAUGGGGCGCAGCAGGCGAGAAAACUUUGCAAUGUGCGAAAGCACGACAAGGUUAAUCCGAGUGGUUUGUGCUAAACGAACCUUUUGACAGUCCUAGAAACACUGUUGAAUAAGGGGUGGGCAAGUUCUGGUGUCAGCCGCCGCGGUAAAACCAGCACCUCAAGUGGUCAGGAUGAUUAUUGGGCCUAAAGCAUCCGUAGCCGGCUCUGUAAGUUUUCGGUUAAAUCUGUACGCUCAACGUACAGGCUGCCGGGAAUACUGCAGAGCUAGGGAGUGGGAGAGGUAGACGGUACUCGGUAGGAAGGGGUAAAAUCCUUUGAUCUAUUGAUGACCACCUGUGGCGAAGGCGGUCUACCAGAACACGUCCGACGGUGAGGGAUGAAAGCUGGGGGAGCAAACCGGAUUAGAUACCCGGGUAGUCCCAGCUGUAAACUAUGCAAACUCAGUGAUGCAUUGGCUUGUGGCCAAUGCAGUGCUGCAGGGAAGCCGUUAAGUUUGCCGCCUGGGAAGUACGUACGCAAGUAUGAAACUUAAAGGAAUUGGCGGGGGAGCACCACAAGGGGUGAAGCCUGCGGUUCAAUUGGAUUCAACGCCGGAAUCGUCCA
rnacentral:rRNA from 1 species